AUUGAACGCUGGCGGCAGGCUUAACACAUGCAAGUCGAGCGGGGGAAGGUAGCUUGCUACUGGACCUAGCGGCGGACGGGUGAGUAAUGCUUAGGAAGCUGCCUAUUAGUGGGGGACAACAUCUCGAAAGGGAUGCUAAUACCGCAUACGUCCUACGGGAGAAAGCAGGGGAUCUUCGGACCUUGCGCUAAUAGAUGAGCCUAAGUCGGAUUAGCUAGUUGGUUGGGUAAAGGCCUACCAAGGCGACGAUCUGUAGCGGGUCUGAGAGGAUGAUCCGCCACACUGGGACUGAGACACGGCCCAGACUCCUACGGGAGGCAGCAGUGGGGAAUAUUGGACAAUGGGGGGAACCCUGAUCCAGCCAUGCCGCGUGUGUGAAGAAGGCCUUAUGGUUGUAAAGCACUUUAAGCGAGGAGGAGGCUACUCUAGUUAAUACCUAGGGAUAGUGGACGUUACUCGCAGAAUAAGCACCGGCUAACUCUGUGCCAGCAGCCGCGGUAA
rnacentral:rRNA from 1 species